GGGAAGGUAGCUUAGUGGUAGAGUGCUUGCCUUGCAUGCACGAGGCCCUGGGUUCGAUUCCUCAGCACCA
rnacentral:tRNA from 1 species